AACACAUGCAAGUCGAGGGGAAACGACAUCGAAAGCUUGCUUUUGAUGGGCGUCGACCGGCGCACGGGUGAGUAACGCGUAUCCAACCUGCCCACCACUUGGGGAUAACCUUGCGAAAGUAAGACUAAUACCCAAUGACGUCUCUAGAGGACAUCUGAAAGAGAUUAAAGAUUUAUCGGUGAUGGAUGGGGAUGCGUCUGAUUAGCUUGUUGGCGGGGUAACGGCCCACCAAGGCUACGAUCAGUAGGGGUUCUGAGAGGAAGGUCCCCCACAUUGGAACUGAGACACGGUCCAAACUCCUACGGGAGGCAGCAGUGAGGAAUAUUGGUCAAUGGACGAGAGUCUGAACCAGCCAAGUAGCGUGCAGGAUGACGGCCCUAUGGGUUGUAAACUGCUUUUAUAAGGGAAUAAAGUGAGUCUCGUGAGACUUUUUGCAUGUACCUUAUGAAUAAGGACCGGCUAAUUCCGUGCCAGCAGCCGCGGUAAUACGGAAGGUCCGGGCGUUAUCCGGAUUUAUUGGGUUUAAAGGGAGCGUAGGCCGGAGAUUAAGCGUGUUGUGAAAUGUAGAUGCUCAACAUCUGCACUGCAGCGCGAACUGGUUUCCUUGAGUACGCACAAAGUGGGCGGAAUUCGUGGUGUAGCGGUGAAAUGCUUAGAUAUCACGAAGAACUCCGAUUGCGAAGGCAGCUCACUGGAGCGCAACUGACGCUGAAGCUCGAAAGUGCGGGUAUCGAACAGGAUUAGAUACCCUGGUAGUCCGCACGGUAAACGAUGGAUGCCCGCUGUUGGUCUGAAUAGGUCAGCGGCCAAG
rnacentral:rRNA from 1 species